CAGCAGCCGCGGGAAUACAGAGGGUGCGAGCGUUAAUCGGAUUUACUGGGCGUAAAGCAUGCGUAGGCGGCUUUUUAAGUCGGAUGUGAAAUCCCUGAGCUUAACUUAGGAAUUGCAUUCGAUACUGGGAAGCUAGAGUAUGGGAGAGGAUGGUAGAAUUCCAGGUGUAGCGGUGAAAUGCGUAGAGAUCUGGAGGAAUACCGAUGGCGAAGGCAGCCAUCUGGCCUAAUACUGACGCUGAGGUACGAAAGCAUGGGGAGCAAACAGGAUUAGAUACCCCAGUAGUCCCUGUCUCUUAUAA
rnacentral:rRNA from 1 species